rnacentral:lncRNA from 1 species
UGCCAUGACACUAGAUUUGAAAUCUAUCCAGUUCCACAAAUGUUCAUGAAAAUAAUUAGUCGGCUAUUAACUAAGAGUCAGAAGUGUACUUCUAAUAUUUAAAAGCCUUACUCUUGGAGUUCCUGUCAUGGCUCAGUGGUUGGCGAAUCUGACUGGGAACCAUGAGGUUGCAGGUUCGAUCCCUGGCCUUGCUCAGUGGGUUAAGGACCUGGCGUUGCCAUGAGCUGUGGUGUAGGUCACAGACACGGCUUGUAUCCUGUGUUGCUGUGGCUGUGGCAUAGGCCGGCAGCUGUCGCUUCAAUUCGAACCCUAGCCUGGAAACUUCCAUAUGCCACGGUUGUGGCCCCAGAAAGCAAAAAAAUAAAAGUAAACAGAACAAAAACCGAAAACAAUUUAUGAUGUUGAUAUAAAGCACAGCUGUUGAUUAAUCCAUCCUUGCAAUACAGAGGUGCAUUGAAAAAAAUCAUUAAAUGUAUUAGUUCUGUGGGCCAAGUGCGGAUAGACUUAGCUUAGUAACAGUCAUUCAUCUUGGUCUUGGCGUUUAUGAUUUAUGGAUAUUGAUUGUAUUAUAAUUUAUGCAUGUAAAAGUGAUCUAGAAAGGAAGAUAGGAGUGAAGAAGACAAAAAAAAAGCCAAGUCUGGAUCAAUGAUGAGAAUUCUGGGGUGUCUGAAUUAAGUAUUCUGAUUAAACUUGAUAGCUCUGAGUCCGGGCUUAAUAGAUGCAAACUAUUGCAUUUGGAGUGGAUAAGCAAUGAGAUCCUGCUGUAUAGCCCAGGGAACUCUAUCUAGUCGCUUGUGAUGGAGCAGGAUGGAGGGUCACGUGAGAAAAAGAAUGUGUGUAUAUGUGUGACUGGGUCACUUUGCUGUACAGUAGAAAUUGACAGAACGCUGUCAACCUACUGUAAUGGAAAAAAUAAAAAAUCAUUUCAUAAAAAAAGAAGGGAAUAUUUAGGAUCCUGUUCUUGGGCUACGUGUUCCUUGGGUAUGGAUUUUUUUUUAAAAUAAAUGAAAUAAUGCAUGAAGAAAGACAUGGAAGAAUGAACGAAGAUAAGGAAAGCCAUACAUUAUUCAACGGUGCGAGUGUGUUUUCAAAUAUUUCCAAAGCACUGAGGUCUAGGAAAAUAAAUAUAUUAAGCUUUUCCCUCUUGCAGCAGGAAGCAGAUAGACAAGCAUGCCCAGGAUUGAAUGUUGUCGUUACGGAUUGAUGGGGGCUUGCUGAUGAUUUUUAAGCAAAGGGCACAAUGUUUGCCCAAAUAAUUACUUAACUAUCUAAUAGACAAAAAGAACAAUCAUGGGCGAAUGAUGAGAAUGUGCCCCAUAAUAAGAGUUAUGAUUGACUUAAGAUGGUUUAGCUGUGAGUAUAUGAUCACGUUAAUAUUAUUGGAAAGUUUUUGUCCAGUGAGUUAUAAUUACCACAGUGACAUAUUAUAAUUAUAUAUUGUUAUUAGAGAGUGAAUAGAUUCAUAUUUUCCUUCGAAGAUGCAAAUCACACACCAGUGAGGAGCUGUAUUAUGAAAUAAGAAUAAUGAUUAUCCUGUUUUGCACAGUUGAUUUCCAUACUUAAAAAAAUCCUGGGCUUCUCCCAUUUUGCAUAAUGCGCACAUAGGCAGAUGCACAUAAUAGUAUUUUGUUUCUGGGUUGCUGCCCAUUUUAGCAUUUCCCCCUUUUUUUUACAUAAUGAGCAGCUGGUGCACUUAGUCCGUGAGUCAUUAAAUGAAUGAAUGAGUGCGUGAGUGGAUGCAGAAAGCAGUCAAAGCAUGGACCACAAAACAAGGAGUAAAAGGCAUCCAGCCUGCAUCAGAGAGAUUCCUUAGAAGAGAAAUUUGACUUUACUUGCGUAGAGGGAAAAGUUCUGACCUAUGGGUCAGGCAGUGCAUUCAGUGGUGCUCAUUCUGUUGCCGGAAAUGAAAAUUACAUAAAAGAGGGGUAUUCUCAGGCCAAGGAAACGAAGCAAGUGUUAGGGCCAGUCUAGAAGCCUACACGUCGUAUCCUCGCAACACCCCUCAAUUUACGGUUUUGCGUUAUUUUUCGAGCCUCCUUUUACCUCAGAAUUCACACACCGUGGCUAAUUUAAUCAUAUCUGACGAAGAAGAGCUUGGCUGAUGCUUCUGUGUUUAAGAAGCAUAAAUACCAAGUUGGGUAACAUUCAAAGCUUCUGUGCCUGGUGAGGAGAGUUUGUUCCUGGGAGUUGACGGAAAUAUUUCAGAACAUAGCUUCAUAAAAGUAUCAAAUUAAAGAAUGAUGGCCAUUACCGAUGAUGGGAACAGCUGAUGAGCCACAGACAAGGAUGUUUAAUUCAAUUCUGACAGCGGAGGACUCCUACAGAAAGAUGGAAGGGGUUUCACACGUUUUCAGAAGUGUUUGCUCUUCUCCUUUAUGCUAACAUGACAGUUGAUACCAACAUCUUUCCCCUGAAAAGAUCUCAGCGGGAGGGAGCGUGCACGGUCUACGGGGAGGGUCAUUGCAAAAAGAGAUCUAAUGUUAGCUCUAUGGGAAACGAGCACAUUGACGGAUCCUGGUAACAUUCAAGGAUCUUCUGUUCCAGACUUUGGAAAUUAUAUGAUUGUGUUAUUAUCGGUGAUUGUGUUAUUAUUGGUGUAGUGAAUGAAUCAAUAAGCAAAGGGAUACAGGGUUGAGGACAAAGUGCAAAGCUUGCAUCAGUGAUGACUUCUAGGAGGCCCCAUUGCAGCACAGUGGUAGCAAAGAACCUGACUGGUACCCACGAGGAUGCCAGUUCGAUCCCUGGCCUUGCUCAGUGGGUUAAGGAUCCAGGGUUACUGUGAGCUGUGGUGUAGGUCACAGAUGUGGCCCGGGUCCCUCAUUGCUGUGGCUGUGGUAUAGACUGGCCGCUGCAGCUUUUUGACCCCUAGCCUGGGAACUUCCAUAUGCUGCGCGUGUGGCCCCCC